rnacentral:rRNA from 1 species
CCUACGGGAGGCAGCAGUGAGGAAUAUUGGUCAAUGGACGAGAGUCUGAACCAGCCAAGUAGCGUGAAGGAUGACUGCCCUGUGGGUUGUAAACUUCUUUUAUAUGGGAAUAAAAUUUUCCACGUGUGGGAUUUUGUAUGUACCCUAUGAAUAAGGAUCGGCCAACUCCGUGCCAGCCGCCGCGGUAAUACGGAGGAUCCGAGGGUUAUCCGGAUUUAUUGGGUUUAAAGGGAGCGUAGGUGGAUUGUUAAGUCAGUUGUGAAAGUUUGCGGCUCAACCGUAAAAUUGCAGUUGUAACUGGCAGUCUUGAGUACAGUAGAGGUGGGCGGAAUGCGUGGUGUAGCGGUGAAAUGCUUAGAUAUCACGAAGAACUCCGAUUGCGAAGGCAGCUCACUGGACUGCAACUGACACUGAGGCUCGAAAGUGUGGGUAUCAAACAGGAUUAGAUACCCUAGUAGUC